AUUGAACGCUGGCGGCAGGCCUAACACAUGCAAGUCGAACGGUAACAGGAAACAGCUUGCUGUUUCGCUGACGAGUGGCGGACGGGUGAGUAAUGUCUGGGAAACUGCCUGAUGGAGGGGGAUAACUACUGGAAACGGUAGCUAAUACCGCAUAACGUUGCAAGACCAAAGAGGGGGACCCUCGGGCCUCUUGCCAUCGGAUGUGCCCAGAUGGGAUUAGCUUGUUGGUGGGGUAACGGCUCACCAAGGCGACGAUCCCUAGCUGGUCUGAGAGGAUGACCAGCCACACUGGAACUGAGACACGGUCCAGACUCCUACGGGAGGCAGCAGUGGGGAAUAUUGCACAAUGGGCGCAAGCCUGAUGCAGCCAUGCCGCGUGUAUGAAGAAGGCCUUCGGGUUGUAAAGUACUUUCAGCGGGGAGGAAGGGAGUAAAGUUAAUACCUUUGCUCAUUGACGUUACCCGCAGAAGAAGCACCGGCUAACUCCGU
rnacentral:rRNA from 1 species